CGGAUCCAUGUAAAACGGACCGCAAAACACUGAAAAAGCCAUACGGUCGUGUGCAAUAGGCCUAAAAGGUAUUUGCUGUACAUUUUACACCGUGGUUAAAAAAAAGCGGAGACAGAAAUUUUUCUGGACACGGAGAUGAAAUGUAUAAUUAAGGCAGUAAAAAUGACAUUAAACAAAACACAUUCAGGACUUGCCUAUAUUUGAUGUUCCACAGUCAGCAAAUCAACCUUGACAUUAAUAUUACAAUUGUGUGAGUGUGUUCCCCAAAUCCUCUCUAUAGAGAGAGAGUUAAAUGAUAACAUUCUGGUUGCCUGCAGCCACCACUAGAGGGAGCUUAGAGCAUACAGUUCCAUUUUUAAGUUCAAAGAGUACGCAGUGCACGCACCCUAGUGGUGACUGAAUGUUAUAAUUUAACUCUAUGUCUAUGCAGGUGAUUCAGAGUUCAAUAGCGGAAAAACAAACUUCAGACCACUAUAAAGAUAAUAAAAAAUUUGGGACAAAUCUAGAUUACAAAAAAGAAAAAAAAAAAAAAAAAAGGAAAAGGUGACGUUCUACGGUGGACAUUCACAUUAAUGCAAAACUCUAAUCAAAAACCGCUUUGUAGAUCUCACUGCAGUGGUACGAAGGUUAUCUCAAUCUUGUACUUUUGCAGUAGCAAUGCAUGCAAGGUACGGGAGAGCACCUGGCACAUCACUAAUACCUCUGGCUGCUGUAACUGUAACACACCAAGCUGUUGUAACUGUCCAGUGGGGACCACACAGCAGGAUUCAAAAAUAUCGAGGGAGAUUUUUACACAAGAUUGAUACACAUUAGAAGUUUUCACCUUGUAGUUCUUGGCACAAGUGACACCAGCAGUGGGGGUGCGGAGACUGGUAACACUUUUUCAUCGAUAAUACUGGACUAAGGGCAUUUUACAUGUUACAAAUAAAGCUGCAGAGUCAUGAAAAAAAAA